GAUGAACGCUGGCGGCGUGCUUAACACAUGCAAGUCGAACGGUGAAGCAGGAGCUUGCUCUUGUGGAUCAGUGGCGAACGGGUGAGUAACACGUGAGCAACCUGCCCCUGACUCUGGGAUAAGCGCUGGAAACGGCGUCUAAUACUGGAUAUGUGAUGUGACCGCAUGGUCUGCAUCUGGAAAGAAUUUCGGUUGGGGAUGGGCUCGCGGCCUAUCAGCUUGUUGGUGAGGUAAUGGCUCACCAAGGCGUCGACGGUUAGCCGGCCUGAGAGGGUGACCGGCCACACUGGGACUGAGACACGGCCCAGACUCCUACGGGAGGCAGCAGUGGGGGAUAUUGCACAAUGGGCGGAAGCCUGAUGCAGCAACGCCGCGUGAGGGAUGACGGCCUUCGGGUUGUAAACCUCUUUUAGCAGGGAAGAAGCGAAAGUGACGGUGCCUGCAGAAAAAGCACCGGCUAACUACGUGCCAGCAGCCGCCGCCG
rnacentral:rRNA from 1 species